rnacentral:rRNA from 1 species
CAAAAACAUCGCCUCCCCGCAAACACCGAAGUAUAGGAAGCCCUACCCUGCCCAGUGAUUAUUAUUUAACGGCCGCGGUAUCCUGACCGUGCUAAGGUAGCGAAAUCACUUGUCUUUUAAAUGAAGACCUGUAUGAAUGGUGGAACGAGGGCUUAACUAUAUACUUUUUCAGGUCAGUGAAAUUGAUCUGCCCGUGCAGAAGCGGACAUAUACAUACAAGACGAGAAGACCCUUUGGAGCUUAAGACUUAAAAGUCAACUGCGUUAAGAAUUUUAAUAAAAAAAUUAAAAUUAACCACCACUGACUCUGCGCCUUCGGUUGGGGCGACCGCGGGGGAAACAAAGCCCCCACGCAGAAUGGGACAACCCUUAAACUAAGAGAGACAUCUCUAAGUCACAGAACCUCUGACUUAAUGAUCCGGCACAAACCGAUCAACGAACCAAGUUACCCUAGGGAUAACAGCGCAAUCCCCUUCAAGAGCCCGUAUCAACAAGGGGGUUUACGACCUCGAUGUUGGAUCAGGACAUCCCUAAUGGUGCAGCCGCUAUUAAGGGUUCGUUUGGUCAACGAUUAAAGUCCUACGUGAUCUGAG